UUGGAGGGCAAGUCUGGUGCCAGCAGCCGCGGUAAUUCCAGCUCCAAUAGCGUAUAUUAAAGUUGUUGCAGUUAAAAAGCUCGUAGUUGAACUUCAGGCCUGGUCGGGCGGUCUGCCUCACGGUAUGUACUGUCUGACUGGGUCUUACCUCUUGGUGAGCCGGCAUGCUCUUCACUGGGUGUGUCGGGGAACCAGGACUUUUACUUUGAGAAAAUUAGAGUGUUCAAAGCAGGCCUAUGCCCGAAUACAUUAGCAUGGAAUAAUAAAAUAGGACGUGCGGUUCUAUUUUGUUGGUUUCUAGAGUCGCCGUAAUGAUUAAUAGGGAUAGUUGGGGGCAUUAGUAUUCAGUUGCUAGAGGUGAAAUUCUUGGAUUUACUGAAGACUAACUACUGCGAAAGCAUUUGCCAAGGAUGUUUUCAUUAAUCAAGAACGAAAGUUAGGGGAUCGAAGACGAUCAGAUACCGUCGUAGUCUUAACCAUAAACUAUGCCGACUAGGGAUCGGAUGAUGUUAAUUUUUUAAUGACUCAUUCGGCGCCUUACGGGAAAC
rnacentral:rRNA from 1 species